rnacentral:tRNA from 1 species
GGAUGAAUAGCUUAACGGCAGAGCAGCGGUUUGUUAGACCGUUGGUUGAAAGUUCGAAUCUUUCUUCAUCCU